rnacentral:rRNA from 1 species
CAGUCGCACGAAGGUUUCGGCCUUAGUGGCGGACGGGUGAGUAACGCGUAGGAAUCUAUCCGUGGGUGGGGGAUAACUCUGGGAAACUGGAGCUAAUACCGCAUGAUACCUGAGGGUCAAAGGCGCAAGUCGCCUGCGGAGGAGCCUGCGUUUGAUUAGCUUGUUGGUGGGGUAAUGGCCUACCAAGGCGAUGAUCAAUAGCUGGUCUGAGAGGAUGAUCAGCCACACUGGGACUGAGACACGGCCCAGACUCCUACGGGAGGCAGCAGUGGGGAAUAUUGGACAAUGGGGGCAACCCUGAUCCAGCAAUGCC